CCCGCGCUCCUCCGGGCAGAGCGCGUGUGGCGGCCGAGCACAUGGGCCCGCGGGCCGGGCGGGCUCGGGGCGGCCGGGACGAGGAGGGGCGACGACGAGCUGCGAGCAAAGAUGUGCCCCGGGACCCCCGGCACCUUCCAGUGGAUUUCCUUGCGGAAAGGAUGUUGGCGGUCCCUGUGACCUGUGGAGACACGGCCAGAUCUGCCCUCCAGCCUGAUCUUUUGGCCAGAAGGAGAUUAAAAAGAUGCCCCUCAAGAUGGCUGUGCCUGUCAGCUGCAUGGAGCUUCGUUCAAGUAUUUUCUGAGCCUGAUGGAUUUACAGUGAUCUUCAGUGGUCUGGGGAAUAACGCUGGUGGAACCAUGCACUGGAAUGACACACGCCCGGCACAUUUCAGGAUACUAAAAGUGGUUUUAAGGGAGGCUGUGGCUGAAUGCCUCAUGGAUUCUUACAGCUUGGAUGUCCAUGGGGGACGAAGGACUGCAGCUGGCUGAGAGGGUUGAGAUCUCUGUUUACUUAGAUCUCUGCCAACUUCCUUUGGGUCUCCCUAUGGAAUGUAAGACCCCGACUCUUCCUGGUGAAGCAUCUGAUGCACGUUCCAUCCGGCGCUCAGCUGGGCUUGAGCUGACCAUACUCCCUGGAGCCUUCUCCCGAGGUGCGCGGGUGACCUUGGCACAUACAGCCAUCAUGAUGGUACUUUAAGUGGAGGCUGAAUCAUCUCCCCUUUGAGCUGCUUGGCACGUGGCUCCCUUGGUGUUCCCCUUUUACUGCCAGGACACUGAGAUUUGGAGAGAAUCCUGUUACACCUGGGAUUUAGGCACUUUCAAUCUGAAAAAAUACAUAUCCUUUCAGCACUCUGGACGGACUUGAGAACUGUCCUUACGUGACCUAAAGCUGGAGUAUUUUGAGAUUGGAGAAUUAAGGCCAACAGAGAUUUUGAGAAACACAUUGAAGGAUCUGUUAACACUUGAUAUACCCAAUAAAAGCAGUGGUUGUGCCAGUGCUGAUCUGUCUUGAUGUGAAUGUGAACAAUGGGAACCUGAGCUGAGCAGUUAAUGCUAGGGUGACAGAAACUGGACCUCUCCCAAGACAUGUGACAGAGUAAUACAGCAGCCAACUUCUUCGCCAAAUUAAAGUUUUACAAGAUUUAACCUGUCAUCAAGACCUGGGAUUUUGGUGAGCCAGUCUUGGUGCUCUGUGUUCACCUGGUUCAUCUGAGGAGCUGCAUCUACCCUGCCCAUGCCAUAGAUCCUGCCCUGUUUGCUUCUCCUGUUGCUGCUAGUGGACAUGAGAUCUUGGACAUGAUACCUGGAUGUGCAGCAGCCAUCUGGUAAUUAUGAGGUGACAAGUCAAUAGACUGAGAUGGUGGAGCAGCAAAGAUAGAAAAGCAAAACUUUGUGGUUUCUGCUCUGAAUGUCAGGGUAACCCUGUCUGAGGAUGAUCACGGAUUUCAUUUUCCCUUGUUUGUUAGCGUUGCGGUCAGCCGCAAGUUGAAAACAAGGAACCAGCUUGAGAAGGACAGAAUAACGGGCUCCCAGAUUCACAAGCCCCACCAAGAGGAUCACCCCAGGAACGCUUGGAGGCUGAGGAGUUCACUGAGGCUACUGCAUCUUGAGACUCAGGAUGAAGACCCAGCUUGGGGCUGUCAAAGGUUUUUUGCAUGUCUGACACCCAUGACUCCACCUGGACCUUAUGGCUCCACCCAGAAGCAAUUCAGCCCAACAGGAGGACAGCUUCAACCCAUUACGAUUUCAUCUCUGCCCCAACCACUCAGCAGCAAGCACCUGUUACCUGUCCACCCCCACCCCUUCCCCCAAACUGCCUUUGAAAAAUCCCUAACCUAUGAGCUUUGAAUAAGAUGAGUACGAACUUCAUCGCCCACGUGGCGUGGCCGGCCUCGUGUCUAUUAAAUUCUUUUUCUACUACAA
rnacentral:lncRNA from 1 species